UGCCUCCCAGCUGGAGUCACUGGUUCGGGUUUUCAGCACCAGUCUCAGCACCCAUAUUAACAAUGUUUCCUCUCACAGCCUGAUAAUUCUGCAGAUCUACAGUGCAAGACCUCUGGUGAAACGAAGACCACCCUGCUCUCCUCUGAUGUGAAGCUGCCUCAACUGCACCCCCAUCUCUGCUGGGGAAGAAACCGCUUUGCUUGAUGCUGCUGAAGGCGAUGCUGGGAAGGAGUCAAGAGGGAGCCAUCCUGUCUGCCUGUCUACUCAUGAGUAAGCCCACUGUGGCCAGUGGGGCCUGACUCCUUAUAAAUGGGCUCAGGAUUGGAGCUAGGAUUUGGUUUUCCUGCAAAAAUGCUUUAGCUUCUUCUUUUUAAUAAAUGCAAGCAUUGGAAA